CACCACCACACUGGCUAAUUUUUUUUUCCGUAUUUUCAGCAGAGAUGGGGUUUCACCAUGUUGGCCAGGGUGGUCUCGAACUCCUGAUCUCAGGUGAUCCUCCUGCCUCAGCCUCCCAAAGUGCUGGGAUUACAGGCGUGAGCCACCGCACCUAGCCUGAGAUGGUGACCCCUCUGAAGAGGUAGCACUACUUAACUCCAGCCCAGUGUAACCAGAUCUGAUUUAAAGCACCGGGUGGGCCACACAAGGCACAUCUGUAGGUAGGAUUCCACCCAGUUUGUGAUUUCAAGACUAGACACUCUCUGCCAUCCACCAGUUCUCCUUUUCCUCCCUCCCGCCUUCCCUGGCUCCCUGCCUGGCCCAGAGUGCCGGACCUCUAGAGGCUAAGGCAGGGCCCUUCUCUGCUUACCUAAUAUAGCUGUGCUCCCAGGCCCUGACCAGCCGAUCCUCCGCCCUGAAGGUUCCCAUGCGGCUAUAAAAAGUCCGCACUGCCCACAGACCUUCCCCUUAGGACAACAGCAGCUUCCAGACACAACAUUCAGUUCUCCCCAGCCUCCCGGGAUGCCCAGUGCCUCUACAGAAUCCAGCUCCUGCACUCUGCCUUCGGCCUGCACUCUGCCUUCGGCCUGCACUCUGCCUUCGGCCUGCACUCUGCCUUCGGCCUGGAGCUUACAUACCUUCCUUCAAUGUGGGGGGAUUUAGCUAGAGUAGGACCUUCCCAAGGAGCGACAGGAGCUGAAACCCUGAGGGCUCUUUGUCUGAGAAGUGCAGGUCUGCGCACCCUAUCCUUCCAUCCUACUGCAUUCUACUUGCAGUCAGAUUCCUCCAGGGCAAAGAAGGCCCUGCUUAGGAGAACAUCCCAAGACCCAGGGGCAGCCUGUCCUUCCAGGUUGAGACUCAGAACAACCCCCUGCCCACCGUGUCCUCUCCUGCUUCCUCUCCCCAAAGCCCUGUGGGACUACAGACCGAGACUCCCUUCCAACUUCCUAAGCCCCUUCCAGGCCUAGAGAGGGUGGUGCAGUAUUCCGGUUCCUCAAAGAGGAAGCAGCUACUCAGGCUGGAGGUGAAGGAACUCAGUCCCAGGGUCAAGUUUGAUGAGUGCAAUAAAUGUCUGUUUUAGGUGAUCCCAAAACUUGAGGGAUGUCAGACAGGCCAAGAGCCCCUCCUGGUUUGAUAUCCCAAAGAGUUGUGAUUCAGAGCCUCGGCUUCACUCACUCAGACUUCUGGGACCUAGACUAGAGCGAGGCAAGACUAGAGCGAGGCAGAACAAGAGAGACCUUCCCAUCUGGGAGAGUGGAUCAAAGCAUGCCUGAGAUAACAGUGACUGGCCGAACCCCAGGAACCAGUCUCAGGAGAUGUCUGCAGAGAGUCAGCAUUUUUGUUUCUGGCUGAAUCUUCUGCACUUGGCUCAGAGAUAGCAUAACCCAGGAAGGCAGGGAGGUAGCAGGUGGCACAGAACUCCAAGAGGCGGGCCGGGCGUGGUGGCUCAUGCCUGUCAUCCCAGCACUUUGGGAGGCCGAGGCGGGUGGAUGACCUGAAGUUGGGAGUUCAAGACCAGCCUGCCAACAUGGCGAAACCCCGUCUGUACUAAAAAUACAAAAAUUAGCCGCGUGUGGUGGCGGGCACCCAUAAUCCCAGCUACUUGGGAAGCUGAGGCAGGAAAAUCACUGAACCCAGGAGGCAGAGGCUUCAGUGAGCCGAGAUGCGCCACUGCACUCCAGCUUGGGUAACAGAGCGAGACUCCAUCUCAAAACCACAAAAAAACAAAAAACAAAACAAAACAAAACAAAACUUUAAAAGGCAGUUUAGCCUGCUGGCUUUGGGCUCAAACAGUCUUAGGGACAAAUUCUGGCUCUGCCACUUGCUUGCUGUGUGACCUUGGGCAGGUCAUUUCACCUCUCUGUGCUCCAGCUUCCUUCUCCAUACUGUGGGAGAUGCUCAUGACUAGUCACAGGAUUCCUGCGACAAGUAAUGAGUUAUACACAUAAAGUGCUCUGCAUGGUGGCUAGGGCAUGGCAAGAGGAGGUGAAUAAAUAGAGUUGCCAUAGUGAUGGCAAUGAUGGCGAUGAUGAUGGUGGUGGCAGUGAUGUAAUUUAAGAGAUGCUGGGUGCCAGAAGGCAUUUACUUCUGGCUGCAGAGGAAGUGGGGGAGCAUCUGCCAAUCAGGAAAGAAAUGAGAAGGAUGGAGAGGAAUUUGCUCCCAUGAAGAAUGGAGAGUGGUAGCUGGGGAAUUUCCACUGCAUCUCUUGAUCAUAAUACUGCCUAACACCAAGUUGCCCCAGAGGCUGCAAUUCUUUUCUGGCCAAUGAUGGCACCUGACAGCCUGGUCCUGCCCAGCUCUGAGCCUGGUGCAGGCUGCCUCUCACCAUUUCCAGUUCCCCAGAUACCGCUCAGGAAGCCAAGUGGGCAGCAACCCAUGGACCGACAAUUUCUCCUGGCACCAAGGCAACGUCUCCUAAGUGUGGCAUGGCAACAGGAGGGGCAAGUGUGCCUCAUGACCUAACAGCUUUCUAAUAAUACAAGCUGGCCAAGAGUAUGCACAUCAAAGCUCCCUCUUGCCGAAUGAAUGUCUUCAAGGAGAAGCCGAAUGAGGGAGUGCCUGGUGAGCGGGGAGGGGACUGAUGCGCUGAGCGGGAAUUUGGACUAGACGACUUCUAAGGUCAGAUCCAGAAAUCUAUGAAUAACAUUUCUGACAGCAGGGGAAAGAGAGAGGCAGCCUCUCGUAGAGGAAAAAAUAAAAAUAAAAUGCCAGCUCUGAUUUUACACAGACCAGGGUUUAAAUCCCAGCUCUGCUUCCUAUCGACUGUGUAACCUUAGGAAGGCUCUAUCUCUGAGUCCAGCUUCUUUCUCUAUAAAACAGCCAAAAGAACUAUGUAGCGGAAAAGAGAAAAUGAGAUAACAGACAUUAGGUAUGUUGCAGAUAUUUAGAAAAAAAAAAAAGCAAUUAUUAAUACUAUGAUAGAAACACGAAAUUGACUGCAGUAAGUUUUUUUAUCUUUUACUCUGUGGACUGAAAAUCUCUCCUAUUUCCUGUUUCUCCUCCAUCCCGCUUCUCUAAAACCCAGAGUGGAACAAUUAUGGUUAUGAUGACAAGAAUACUAACAUUUAUUGACUACUAUAGGCCAGGCACUGUGCACAGCACUUUAUUUCAUUCCCAGAAUCACCUUAAGAGGUGGAUAUUAGUAUGCCCAAUUGAUGGAUGGACAAGGGAAUCGAGGAACAGAGAGGUUAAGUAAUCUGUCUAAGGUCACAUGGCCAGAAAGAGGAGGCCUGUGUAAUCUGACUCUUAAGCAUGCUGUUGUGUAAGGGAAGAUGGGUGGGACAGAAGGAUAAUCCUUGUUCUUAAGUUCACUUCCUCAAGCUCUGGAUGGAACCUAUUACAAGGGCUAAUUCAGAUCACUUUCUGCUUCUCUGGGACAGCGCGGAGGGCACUUCCGAUGCAGAAGACUCCCCUAAGAAGAUACCAGAUUAUGGGGGAGGCGUGCAUGGAAGAAACAACAAGCCCUUGGAAGGAUCUAAGGAACAGCAAAGAUUAGAAGGAAUUUGAUGUGAGCAGCUUAGCCAAAUGAGGAAGACGACAGGCAGAAAAGCCCAAAGUGUCCUAAAUUGAGAGGCUGGUAAACUGACCAAGAUAGGAUGGGGUUGGGGAUACAGACGCCAAUAGCUCACCCGAGGCCAUAGGUAAGUCACUUAACCCCUCCCUCUGAAUGUCAAUCAAGUUCCUUGUCUGGAAAAUGGAAGAAUUGGAGGAAAACAACGCCAUCAUUCCCUCUUCCUUUAAAUAAUACCUGAGUCUCUUCUAUG
rnacentral:lncRNA from 1 species